UUGAUACUUCCUCCGUCCAAUAAAAGAUGUCUCAAGUUUGUCAAAAUUUGGAUGUGUCUAGAUAUGACUUAGUAUAUAGAUGCAUUCAAAUUUGACAUCAUUUGUUGGACGGAGGGAGUAUGAG
rnacentral:pre_miRNA from 1 species